UACAGAGGAUGCAAGCGUUAUCCGGAAUGAUUGGGCGUAAAGCGUCUGUAGGUGGCUUUUUAAGUCCGCCGUCAAAUCCCAGGGCUCAACUCUGGACAGGCGGUGGAAACUACCAAGCUGGAGUACGGUAGGGGCAGAGAGAAUUUCCGGUGGAGCGGUGAAAUGCGCAGAUAUCAGGAGGAACACCGGUGGCGAAGGCGGUUCUCUGGGCAUGAUCUGACGCUGAGGAGCGAAAGUGUGGGGAGCGAACAGG
rnacentral:rRNA from 1 species